rnacentral:rRNA from 1 species
AUUGAACGCUGGCGGCAUGCCUUACACAUGCAAAUCGAACGGUAACGGGCCUUCGGGUGCCGACGAGUGGCGAACGGGUGCGUAAUACAUCGGAACGUGCCCGAUCGUGGGGGAUAACGAGGCGAAAGCUUUGCUAAUACCGCAUACGAUCUACGGAUGAAAGCAGGGGACCGCAAGGCCUUGCGCGGACGGAGCGGCCGCUGGCAGAUUAGGUAGUUGGUGGGAUAAAAGCUUACCAAGCCGACGAUCUGUAGCUGGUCUGAGAGGAUGAUCAGCCACACUGGGACUGAGACACGGCCCAGACUCCUACGGGAGGCAGCAGUGGGGAAUUUUGGACAAUGGGCGCAAGCCUGAUCCAGCCAUGCCGCGUGCAGGAUGAAGGCCUUCGGGUUGUAAAAUGAUUUUGUACGGAACGAAAAGCCUUCUUUUAAUACAGGAGGGUCAUGACGGUACCGUAAGAAUAAGCACCGGCUAACUACGUG